CUGCCCCCUGCAGGCCCCUCUCUGUGCCCAACGGGACCCCCGGGGUGCCCCCCGAUGCAGCCCCCCUACCCUGGGGUGCCCCCCCUGGUCCCCCCCGGGCUGGACAAGAAGGCGGCGAAGAAGAUGAAGAAGAGGAUGAAGAAGGCUCAAAAGAGGCACAAGCGCUCUUUGUCCUCCUCCUCUUCCUCCUCCUCCUCCUCCAGCAGCGACUCCGACUGAUGGCAGUGCCACCCGUGUCCUGGGGCCACCCGGGGGCCACCCGUGUCCUCCUGUGGCCCCCCCCUGUGCUGUGACCACCCACGGGACCACCCCUGAGCACCUCCUGGAGUCCCCUGUGACCACAUGUGCCUGUGGCCACCCAUGACCGCCCGUGGUCUCCUGGGACCGGCUGGGGCCUCCCAUGACCACCCGAGACCACCUGGAACCAUCUGGAGCCACCGUGACCACCCCAUAUCCACCUGAGACCUCCUGUGACCGCCAGCGACCGCCUGGGACCACCUGGAACCACCACGACCGCCCCAUGUCCACACGGAACCUCCCGAGACCAGCCGUGACCAACAUCGCCACCCGUGAUGAUCCGUGACCACCAGGAAAUAUCUGGGACCACCCUGACCACCCCGUAUCCGUGUAGGACCACCCGGGACCACCCAUGGCCUGUGCCCCACCAGGUCCCGUGCCCACACGAUGUCCCCACGUUCCCUCACCCCAUGAGCCUGCGCCUUGUGUGGGUGCUGAGGGGGAACCUAUGAGGUUCUGUGGGGUCCCGUUGGGUUCUGUGGGGUUCUGCGGGGUGCUGUGGGUCUGGCGGGUUCUGUGGUGUCACAGCUGCCAGGGUUGCUGCUGCUGCCUCCCAAUAAAGCCCUGAGACCUCCUCAA